UAGGGAAUAUUGCACAAUGGGGGAAACCCUGAUGCAGCGACGCCGCGUGAGUGAUGAAGGCCUUCGGGUUGUAAAGCUCUGUUGUUAGGGAACAAGCUCUGAGUGUACCUAACGAGAAAGGACCGGCUAACUUCGUGCCAGCAGCCGCGGUAAUACGAAGGGUCCUAGCGUUGUUCGGAGUUAUUGGGCGUAAAGCGGGUGUAGGCGGUUUCGCAAGUCAGAAGUGAAAGCCCUCGGCUCAACCGGGGAAGUGCUUUUGAAACUGCGAAUCUUGAGUAUUGGAGAGGAUAGUAGAAUUCCUGGUGUAGUGGUGAAAUACGUAGAUAUCAGGAGGAAUACCGGUGGCGAAGGCGGCUAUCUGGCCAAAUACUGACGCUGAGACCCGAAAGCGUGGGGAGCA
rnacentral:rRNA from 1 species